rnacentral:lncRNA from 1 species
AAAAUCUACAAGACUGAGGAAAUCAGCCAUCUCAGAUGAUUUUAUGUUGUAUUUGAGUGAAACAAAUAUCAACAUUGGUGAACCUGCAACAUAUAUGGAGGUUGUAAGUGGAUUGCAGCAAGAAGAGUGGGUGAAAGCCAUGGAGAAUGAACUUGAAUCCAUGAAAAAGAAUAAAGUGUGGGAACUUACAGUGUUACCAAAGGGAGCAAAGCCAAUCGGAUGUAAGUGGGUGUAUAAGACUAAGAAGGACUCCAAGGGAGAAAUUGAAAGAUUCAAGGCUAGACUUGUUGCUAAGGGAUACACUCAACAAGAGGGAAUUGAUUACACUGAGACAUUCUCACCAGUCUCAACAAAAGAUUCAUUCAGGUUUGUAAUGGCUUUGGUGGCUCACUAUAAUCUUCAUUUACAUCAAAUGGAUGUAAAAACUGCAUUCCUAAAUGGUACUUUGGAGGAAGAAAUUUAUAUGCAACAACCUGAGGGAUUCAUUGAUGGAGAUGGUAAGGAAUUAGUAUGCAAACUCAGGAAAUCGAUUUAUGGCCUCAAACAGGCUUCAAGACAAUGGUACUUGAGGUUUGAUGAAGUAAUGCAAUCACAUGGUUUCACUGAGAAUUCAGAAGAUGAAUGUAUAUAUUUUAAAUCAUGUGGGAGACACUUCACCAUAUUGGUGCUAUAUGUGGAUGAUAUCCUCAUAGCUAGCACUGAUUUGACCUUACUGCAUGAGACCAAAUUAAUACUCAGUGACAAUUUUGAGAUGAAGGAUAUGGGCGAAGCAACCUAUGUCUUGGGGAUAUAAAUAACUCGUGACAAAGAGAGAGGUUUGCUUGGAAUAUCACAGAAGGGAUAUAUUGACAAGAUACUCAAGAGGUUCAAUAUGUCAACUUGCAGUGGUUGUGAUGUGCCAGUGACUAAAAGAGAUAAACUGAGCAAGCUGCAGAGCCCUCAAACUGAAGCUGAAAAACUUGAGAUGAAUGACAAGUCGUAUGCUUCAGUUGUAUGGAGUUAAUGUAUGCACAAGUAUGCACAAGACCUGACAUUCCUUUUGCAUUAAGCUUGUUGGGGAGAUAUCAAUCGAACCCUGGACAUGCCUAUUGGAUUGUAGCAAAGAAGGUGCUCAGGUAUUUGCAGAAAACCAAAGACUAUAAACUGGUAUACAGGAGAAGUGAUAAGCUCGAGUUGCUUGGCUACUAUGAUUCAGAUUUUGCGGGAUGUCAAGACUCACUGAAAUCUACCUCUAGCUACAUUUUUAUGAUGGCAGGAGGAGCAAUCUCGUGGAAAAGUAUGAAACAUAAAAAUGUAGCUACCUCUACUAUGAUGGCUGAAUAUAUGGCUUGUUACGAAGCAACUUCUCAAGCGGUUUGGAUUGGAAAGUUUAUAGAGGGUAUGAGGGUCCUCCAUAUUGUCACAAAUCCGUUGAAGAUAUUUUGUGACAGUACUGCUGCAAUUUUCUACUCCAAGAACAACAAGAGAUCUUCUGGGACUAAGCACAUGCAUAUCAAGUAUAAGUUGGUUAGGGAAAAGAUUAAGCAAGGGUUCAUAAAGAUUAGCUAUAUACAUACUGAAUCAAUGCUUGCGGAUCCCUUGAACAAGCCACUUCCA